rnacentral:misc_RNA from 1 species
AACAAGGCGUACCUGCGGACCUGCGGAGGGAUCAUUACCGAGUGUGGCCCCCCAAAAAAAGGGGGGUACCUCCCGUCCUUUGCAGGGCCCUUUGGGGCUUUUUGAACUUUGCUUCGGCGGGGUUAACCCGCCGGAACACCCUCAAGAAAAUCUUUUAUAACUGUUGUCUGAGUUACUUGCGAAAUAAAACAAAACUUUUAACAAUGGAUCU